CAGGCUUAACACAUGCAAGUCGAGGGGCAGCAUGGUCUUAGCUUGCUAAGGCCGAUGGCGACCGGCGCACGGGUGAGUAACACGUAUCCAACCUGCCGUCUACUCUUGGACAGCCUUCUGAAAGGAAGAUUAAUACAAGAUGGCAUCAUGAGUCCGCAUGUUCACAUGAUUAAAGGUAUUCCGGUAGACGAUGGGGAUGCGUUCCAUUAGAUAGUAGGCGGGGUAACGGCCCACCUAGUCUUCGAUGGAUAGGGGUUCUGAGAGGAAGGUCCCCCACAUUGGAACUGAGACACGGUCCAAACUCCUACGGGAGGCAGCAGUGAGGAAUAUUGGUCAAUGGGCGAGAGCCUGAACCAGCCAAGUAGCGUGAAGGAUGACUGCCCUAUGGGUUGUAAACUUCUUUUAUAAAGGAAUAAAGUCGGGUAUGCAUACCCGUUUGCAUGUACUUUAUGAAUAAGGAUCGGCUAACUCCGUGCCAGCAGCCGCGGUAAUACGGAGGAUCCGAGCGUUAUCCGGAUUUAUUGGGUUUAAAGGGAGCGUAGAUGGAUGUUUAAGUCAGUUGUGAAAGUUUGCGGCUCAACCGUAAAAUUGCAGUUGAUACUGGAUAUCUUGAGUGCAGUUGAGGCAGGCGGAAUUCGUGGUGUAGCGGUGAAAUGCUUAGAUAUCACGAAGAACUCCGAUUGCGAAGGCAGCCUGCUAAGCUGCAACUGACAUUGAGGCUCGAAAGUGUGGGUAUCAAACAGGAUUAGAUACCCUGGUAGUCCACACGGUAAACGAUGAAUACUCGCUGUUUGCGAUAUACAGCAAGCGGCCAAGCGAAAGCGUUAAGUAUUCCACCUGGGGAGUACGCCGGCAACGGUGAAACUCAAAGGAAUUGACGGGGGCCCGCACAAGCGGAGGAACAUGUGGUUUAAUUCGAUGAUACGCGAGGAACCUUACCCGGGCUUAAAUUGCAGAUGAAUUACGGUGAAAGCCGUAAGCCGCAAGGCAUCUGUGAAGGUGCUGCAUGGUUGUCGUCAGCUCGUGCCGUGAGGUGUCGGCUUAAGUGCCGUAACGAGCGCAACCCUUGUUGUCAGUUACUAACAGGUUCCGCUGAGGACUCUGACAAGACUGCCAUCGUAAGAUGUGAGGAAGGUGGGGAUGACGUCAAAUCAGCACGGCCCUUACGUCCGGGGCUACACACGUGUUACAAUGGGGGGGUACAGAGGGCCGCUACCACGCGAGUGGAUGCCAAUCCCAAAAACCUCUCUCAGUUCGGACUGGAGUCUGCAACCCGACUCCACGAAGCUGGAUUCGCUAGUAAUCGCGCAUCAGCCACGGCGCGGUGAAUACGUUCCCGGGCCUUGUACACACCGCCCGUCAAGCCAUGGGAGCCGGGGGUACCUGAAGUGCGUAACCGCGAGGAGCGCCCUAGGGUAAAACUGGUGACUGGG
rnacentral:rRNA from 1 species